ACGAACGCUGGCGGCAGGCCUAACACAUGCAAGUCGAGCGGCCCUUCGGGGCAGCGGCGGACGGGUGAGUAACGCGUGGGAACGUGCCCUUUGGUACGGAACAACUGAGGGAAACUUCAGCUAAUACCAUAUGUGCCCUACGGGGGAAAGAUUUAUCGCCAUUGGAGCGGCCCGCGUUAGAUUAGCUAGUUGGUAGGGUAAUGGCCUACCAAGGCGACGAUCUAUAGCUGGUCUGAGAGGAUGAUCAGCCACACUGGGACUGAGACACGGCCCAGACUCCUACGGGAGGCAGCAGUGGGGAAUCUUGCGCAAUGGGCGAAAGCCUGACGCAGCCAUGCCGCGUGAAUGAUGAAGGUCUUAGGAUUGUAAAAUUCUUUCACCGGGGACGAUAAUGACGGUACCCGGAGAAGAAGCCCCGGCUAACUUCGUGCCAGCCGCCGCCGUAAGAC
rnacentral:rRNA from 1 species